rnacentral:rRNA from 1 species
AUUGAACGCUGGCGGCAUGCUUUACACAUGCAAGUCGAACGGUAACAGGCCUUCGGGUGCUGACGAGUGGCGAACGGGUGAGUAAUGCAUCGGAACUUGCCCAGAGGUGGGUUUUAACUCAGCUAAAGCUGUUCUAAUACCGCAUGUGAUCUGAGGAUGAAAGCGGGGGACCAGGCAGCAAUGUUUGGCCUCGCGCCUUUGGAUCGGCCGAUGUCAGAUUAGGUAGUUGGUGGGGUCAAGGCCUACCAAGCCGACGAUCUGUAGCUGGUCUGAGAGGACGAUAGGCGACACGAGGACGGGAACACGGACAAGACGCCUGAGGGAGGCAGCAGUGGGGAAUUUUGGACAAUGGGCGCAAGCAUGAUCCAGCAAUGCCGCGUGCGGGAAGAAGGCCUUCGGGUUGUAAACAGCUUUUGUACGGAACGAAAAGGCUCUGGCUAAUACCUGGGGCUGAUGACGGUAACGGAAGAAGAAGCACCGGCUAACUACGUG